rnacentral:rRNA from 1 species
CCCUUAGAUGUUCUGGGCCGCACGCGCGCUACACUGACGAAUGCAACGAGCUUAUAACCUUGGCCGAAAGGUCUGGGUAAUCUCCAAAUUUCGUCGUGAUGGGGAUAGAUUAUUGCAAUUAUUAAUCUUCAACGAGGAAUGCCUAGUAAGCGCAAGUCAUCAGUUUGCGUUGAUUACGUCCCUGCCCUUUGUACACACCGCCCGUCGCUCCUACCGAUUGAAUGGUCCGGUGAAGCGUUCGGACCGUGGCCUUUGGACGGUUCGCCGUCUGUUGGCUGCGGGAAGUUCGUUAAACCUUAUCAUUUAGAGGAAGGAGAANUCGUANCA